GAGGUCGGAAAGUAUCGGUUGGUUUUUUUUUUUUCCUUCAUUCAAUUACACGGCAGUUUGCGAUCCGCGCUCCGUCCGUACGGUGACCGGCCGCGUCCGCUUCUCGGAAGCCGGAGAGGUCCGUACGACUCUCAGCCGACCCGGCCGCGCUCUCACGCGGCGGGCGGACGGGGACGUGCCGCUUGACGACGCGAGAACCCGUGACUGUUUGCCGUCACAACUUGGGCGGACGACCGGAGGCGGCCGCCGGAGCGGUUUUCCCCGGUCGAACCGCCAAUCUCGCACCACCGGAGCGGACGACGGGCGGCCGUCGGUCCCCGGGAGGACCGCCACCGCCGUCGGACGCCUGCCGGCGGCACAUCGGUCUGGCCGAGUAUCCGGUAUACGACCCUCAGACAGGCGUGCCCGGGACCCG
rnacentral:rRNA from 1 species